UACGUAGGGUGCGAGCGUUAAUCGGAAUUACUGGGCGUAAAGCGUGCGCAGGCGGUUCGUGAUGUCUGAUGUGAAAGCCCCGGGCUCAACCUGGGAAUUGCAUUGGAAACUAGCGGGCUGGAGUGUGGCAGAGGGGGGUGGAAUUCCACGUGUAGCAGUGAAAUGCGUAGAGAUGUGGAGGAACACCGAUGGCGAAGGCAGCUCGCUGGGACGUGACUGACGCUGAGACGCGAAAGCGUGGGGAGCAAACAGG
rnacentral:rRNA from 1 species